CAAGUCGAACGAAGUCUUCGGACUUAGUGGCGCACGGGUGAGUAACAUGUGGGAAUCUACCUAAAGGUUCGGAAUAACUGCGGGAAACUGUAGCUAAUACCGGAUGUGUCUGCAAAGAGAAAGAUUUAUCGCCUUUAGAUGAGCCCGCACUAGAUUAGCUAGUUGGUGAGGUAACUGCUCCACCAAGGCUACGAUCUAUAGCUGAUUUGAGAGGAUAAUCAGCCACACUGGGACUGAGACACGGCCCAGACUCCUACGGGAGGCAGCAGUAGGGAAUAUUGGACAAUGGGGGAAACCCUGAUCCAGCAAUGCCGCGUGAGUGAAGAAGGCCCUCGGGUUGUAAAACUCUUUCAUCAAUGGUGAUAAUGACAUUAGUUGAAGAAGAAGCUCCGGCUAACUUCGUGCCAGCAGCCGCGGUAAUACGAAGGGGGCUAGCGUUGUUCGGAAUCACUGGGCGUAAAGCGUAUGUAGGCGGAUCAAAAAGUUAGAUGUGAAAUCCCUGGGCUCAACCCAGGAACUGCAUUUAAAACUAGUGAUCUAGAAUUUGGUAAAGGUUAGUAGAAUUUCCAGUGUAGAGGUGAAAUUCGUAGAUAUUGGAAAGAAUACCAGAAGCGAAGGCGACUAACUAGGCCAUUUUUGACGCUGAGAUACGAAAGCGUGGGUAGCAAACAGGAUUAGAUACCCUGGUAGUCCACGCAGUAAACGAUGAGUGCUAGUCGCUGGGACAUUAGUUCAGUGUCGAAGCUAACGCAUUAAGCACUCCGCCUGGGAAAGUACGGUCGCAAGAUUAAAACUCAAAUAAAUUGACGGGGGCCCGCACAAGCGGUGGAGCAUGUGGUUUAUUUCGAGCAACGCGAAAGACCUUUACCAGAACUUGACAUGGUGU
rnacentral:rRNA from 1 species